GCAAUGUGGUGGAGUUGUGGGGUUUGUAUGUCCUUAGGUGGCUGGUGGUGUAGCUGUGUCAUAGUGAAGUUAAUGUGUGCUGUUGCUCAAAGAGAGGUGUAAAGGUUGACAGCAUGGAGAGGCUUGGCAUUGUGUGUGAGCUGUUCUGAUGAGGAGUUGCCACCAGAAAAUACAGAAGAAAGCUGGGUGAUGCUGAAAUGGGAAGGUUUGUUGCCUGAAAUCCUGAACUCCAGCACUGUGAGCAGAAGCAGCACACCUGGGAAAGAAGGUGCUACAGCAAGCCCUGAGAGGACCUUCAGUGGCUGAAAUGGUUGUUGAGAUGAA